CGUAGGUGGCAAGCGUUGUCCGGAAUUAUUGGGCGUAAAGCGCGCGCAGGCGGUCCUUUAAGUCUGAUGUGAAAGCCCACGGCUCAACCGUGAGGUCAUUGGAAACUGGGGGACUUGAGUACAGAAGAGAAGAGUGGAAUUCCACGGUGUAGCGGUGAAAUGCGUAGAGAUGUGGAGGAACACCAGUGGCGAAGGCGACUCUUUGGUCUGUAACUGACGCUGAGGCGCGAAAGCGUGGGGAGCAAACAGGAUUAGGAUACCCUGGUAGUCCACGCCGUAAACGACGAGUGCUAAGUGUUAGAGGGUUUCCGCCCUUUAGUGCUGCAGCAAACGCAUUAAGCACUCCGCCUGGGGAGUACGGCCGCAAGGCUG
rnacentral:rRNA from 1 species